GCGGCGGCGGCGGGGGGUGGUGGUGGUGGUGGUGGGCCCGUGCGAGCGCGCGGCGUGGAAGGGAGCAUGUACUGUUUCCUAGCGUGUAAGGUGAAACGAAUGCACACGACCCCCCGCCCCACGCGCGGAUGUGUCCCCCUCAACCAGCCGGGGUUGCUUCCUCCCUCAGUCCGCGGACGGCGCUGAAGCAGACUUGGGGCCUUCGACUGGCAAAAAAGCAGUUUGAGCAGACAUCUGGAACCAUUAGGUUCAACCAGCCAGGAGAGGGGUUUUCGAAUAGUAGCAGACUGAAGAGAUCCUAUUGCCAGAAUGAGACAUUCUUUCAGAAAAAGAUGGAUCAUUGCUCAUUGAGACAUUUGAGAGGUGAGGAACUGAAAUACAGAGCUCUGGAGGCACACAGUCCACAAAACAAAACAAAAGGAUUCAUAUUUAAACCUAAAUAG
rnacentral:lncRNA from 1 species